GAGGGUAUAGCUCAGUGGUAGAGCCCAUGCGUAGCAUGCAUGAGGUCCUGGGUUCAAUCCCCAGAACCUCCA
rnacentral:tRNA from 1 species